ensembl:lncRNA
GUUGGCCUGGAAGCCUCCUACUCUAUGCUGGUAGCUGUGGCAUGUUGACCCAGAACCCUCCUCUGUGCUGGGAGCUCUGGCACAUUGACCUGAAAGCCUCCUCUGCACUAGGAGCUGUGGCACAUUGACCCAGAAGCCUCUUCUGCUCUGGGAGCUGUGACUCAUUGACCUGAAAGCCUACUCUGCACUGCGAGUGGUGGCAUGUGGACCUGAAAGCCUCCUCUGUGCUGGGAGCAGUGGCACAUUGACCCAGAAGCCUCCCACUCUAGACUGGGAGCAGUGGCACAUUGACCUGGAAGCCUCCUCUGUCUGCUUUGGGUUUUUUAGUGUGGUGUGUUUUUCUUUUUGCACUUGAAUUUAGUUAGUGUUUAUUUUCUCUUCUUCUUCUCAUCUCCCUAGGGUAAUCACUUCAACACAAGCUCCCAUAGCAAUACAAUUUUGUUUCCCCUUUGUUGUUUCUCCAACCUUUUAAAUUAUUCCCAUAAUGUUUUUCUUUUAGUAUAUUCUGUUCUCUCCAUUAUUCCUAUUUUCUCUUGUAUUCAACCUCUGUCCUCUAUAGUCUAUCCCUUUCCUUCAUUCUUAUUUAUGCCCAUCUUCUCUUGUCUUUUUUCCACUUCACAGGUGCAAAAUUUAUAAACUGAUUCUGACAACCUACAGGCUUCUCCAAUCACAAAGUACACUUUCCUCCUGCUAUAUCUCCUUUUUACCAGAAGAAAUAUCUUCUUCAAACUCACAAAACUAACACUUUCAUCCAAAUAAAAGACUUCCAACAGAACUUUAACCCAUAUUAAUUCAUCAGUUACAUUCCCCCAUCUACUCCCCAUACUACAGACUUACACUUCUCUUUCAGCCAUAUUUCAAUCUCUCUCCUCUACUUUUUUUUCCACAUCACACAAUAACUGCUAACAACAACUUAAUAUAGGCUGCAAAGAGUACUGAUAAGGUACUGUAAAUGCAAAGUCUAUCACAUAUAAGCAAUGCAUAAUCAGAUAUGUUGAUGCUGUUGUAACAGAAGUAAUUCUUUCCUCAAACAGGGAUAGAGUGCAAACCACAUAAAUUAAAUGGGUGAAAGGGUAAAUAUUACCUGGACAAUUUACGUUGAAAACACAUCAUGUGAAUUCUUUAUCUUUUUUUUUUUUUUUUCAGUACCAGGGAUUGAACUCAGGACCUUCAACUUGCAAGGUUGCCUCCAGGAUGGUGUGUCAUGGUCUCCAAAGGGAAAGGCUUGCUGUCACCUUCUUGUGGGUGCUGCAGAGGACAUGGUGGCCUUUUAUCCAGGCAGCUUUGUUCCUUGUGGUGGGCUCUCACAGAAGCCUUCAGGAUAAGGUGCCUGAGCUGCAGCCACUCCCCAUUGCCUGUAUCUACUGGGAAAGGUCCUCUCCUUCCAAAUAUUUCUCUCCUCCAAGUAACAUCAGGCUGGGUUCUAGAGAGAGCAGCCCAUGGGACUGAUAGUGGUGUCAGCCUACACUUUUCCCUUCCCCUCCUCAUGGGCCAGGGAAAAAGACAUGAAGACUUGGUUGGAUGUGUUUAUUUAGUAGGAAAGGCAGCUCCAUUGGGAAAGGGCUGGAACUGGUGGCUGUGGGUGUACAGCAGUGUUAUGGUUUGGGUUGAGAUGCCCCCUAAAGCCCCAUGUGGUCAUAGGGUUGGUCUAGAGUGUUUGAAGCUGGAAUUGAUUCAUGAUACAAUGCUAGGCUCAAGGGGGCUAGGAUUAAGAGUGUGAGUGCUACCCGCCCUACGUAGUAUGAAUAAGAUAAAAGGGGCACAAAGAUCCUGUUAAACUCUCUCUUGUUACCUUUGUUGCCUUGUGUAUGGCAUGUUGUUUGUCCUGAAACCUCUACAAACUGUAAGCCAAAUAAAACCAUUCCCCUCCAACUUUGGGUGUCUAGUAUUUUGUCUCAGCAGUGAGAGAAAAGUAACUAACAGAAGCAGUGCACUAUAAGAAGGGACUUCCAGCUCUCUCACUGUCAUUGUGGAAGCUGGAGCAGACAGUUGGCACCUUGGGCAGAGGUGACAGGAAGAACAGGG